rnacentral:rRNA from 1 species
GUGAAAUCCCUGGCCUCCUGAAUCAAGUUCCUUGGGCGGCCCGUUCCGGUCUCAACCUGCUGGUUCGUGCACGCCAAGUCGCCAUUCAAGGCCCACGUGACAGUGUGCCAGGAUAAACCCUAGUCAUCCCUCCAUCCGCAGCCUCCUCCUCCCCCAUUCUGCUGGCUCCCGGUUUUCUCCCCGCCCUGAGGCUGCUGCGGCUCCCUGCCUCGCGCGCCGUCGUCAGGAAAAUGUCGUCAAAUACUGAAGGACCCAAGAGUCAUGCACGUAGAGACCUUUUGCUCAAGAUCCAAUCAGAUGCUCAAACUUGCUGGGAGGAGAGCAAGGUUUUUCAGGCUGAACCUGGCAAUGGACCUCCUGGCCCUGGUGAAAAAUUCUUUGGCAAUUUUCCGUACCCUUACAUGAAUGGAUUGCUACAUCUGGGUCACGCCUUCUCACUGUCCAAGCUUGAGUUCGGUGCUGCAUACCACAGACUCCGUGGCUCAAAUGUCCUUUUGCCGUUUGCUUUUCAUUGUACUGGGAUGCCCAUCAAGGCCUCAGCUGAUAAGCUUGCUAGGGAGAUUCAACAGUAUGGAAAUCCUCCAGUGUUCCCUGCGGCAGAGGAUGAUUCAAGUGCUCAAGUGGCAGAUGAUAGCCAGGCUGACCAGGCUGCUCUUGCCCCAGGGCAAUUCAAGAGUAAGAAAUCUAAGGCUGCUGCAAAGACCGGCAUGCAGAAGUUCCAGUGGGAGAUCAUGAAGGGCUUUGAACUGACAGAUGAAAAAAUCGCCAAAUUUCAGGAUCCGUCUCACUGGUUGACCCACUUCCCUCCGCUGGCAAAGGAAGAUCUUAAGGAGUUUGGCCUGGGUUGUGAUUGGAGGCGCUCAUUCAUAACCACUGAUAUGAAUCCUUUCUACGAUGCUUUUGUUCGCUGGCAGAUGAGGAAGCUGAAGAAAAUGGGCAAAGUUGUCAAGGAUAUGAGGUACACGAUCUACUCACCACUGGAUGGCCAACCUUGUGCUGAUCAUGAUAGGGCAUCAGGUGAAGGUGUGCAGCCACAAGAAUACGUGUUGAUUAAAAUGAUGGUGAUCCCACCUUUUCCCCCCAAGUUGAAGGUCUUGGAAGGAAAGAAUGUUUAUCUGGCAGCUGCUACAUUAAGACCUGAGACAAUGUAUGGGCAAACAAACUGUUGGGUAUUGCCUGAUGGGAAUUAUGGGGCUUUUGAGAUCAAUGAAACUGAUGUCUUCAUUGUGACAGCAAGGUCAGCCCUUAAUCUUGCAUAUCAGCAUCUAUCCAGGGUCCCAGAAAAGCCCACCUGCUUAGCUGAGCUUACUGGCAAUGAUUUGAUUGGAUUGCCAUUAAAGUCUCCUCUUUCAUUCAAUGAAAUCAUAUAUGCACUUCCCAUGCUCACUAUCUUGACAGAUAAAGGUACUGGCAUCGUGACUAGUGUGCCAAGUGAUUCCCCAGAUGAUUACAUGGCACUGCAAGAUUUAAUCACAAAGCCUGCUUUGAGACAGAAGUAUGGGGUCCAAGAUGAGUGGGUUCUUCCAUUUAAUAUCAUACCAAUAAUCAACAUACCAGAGUUUGGGGAUAAGUCAGCUGAGAAGGUGUGCCUUGAUCUUAAGAUUAAGAGCCAGAAUGACAAGGAGAAGCUUGCUGAAGCAAAAAGGAUGACAUACCUUAAAGGAUUUACUGAUGGAGUGAUGAUUGCAGGGGAGUUUGAUGGUAGAAAGGUUCAAGAAGCGAAGCCGCUGAUAAAGAACAAGCUUCUUGGAGAAGGCUCUGCUGUGUUGUAUAGUGAGCCUGAGAAGAAAGUCAUGUCAAGAUCCGGCGAUGAGUGUGUCGUUGCUCUUACAGAUCAGUGGUACAUAACUUACGGUGAAACUGAAUGGAAGCAGAAGGCAGUCAAAUGUUUGGAAAAUAUGAAUACAUUCUCAGCUGAAACCCGUAACGGAUUCGAGCACACGUUGGGCUGGCUGAACCAGUGGGCAUGUUCUCGCUCUUUUGGCCUAGGUACUCGCAUUCCAUGGGAUGAGCAGUUCCUGGUAGAAUCUCUUUCAGAUUCAACCCUGUACAUGGCUUAUUACACCAUUGCACAUCAUUUACAAAAUGGUAACAUGUAUGGAGAAGAAAUAUCUUCUAUCAAGCCUGAAGAAAUGACAGAUGAAGUAUGGGAAUAUGUGUUCUGUGAUGGUCCAGCACCCAAUAGCAGCAUCUCUCCUGCCCUCUUGAGCAAAAUGAAGCAAGAGUUCAAGUAUUGGUACCCCUUUGAUAUUCGGGUAUCUGGGAAGGACCUUAUCCAGAACCAUCUGACAUUCAGCAUCUACAAUCAUACAGCACUUCUUCCAGAGCAUCAUUGGCCUCGUGGUUUUCGUUGCAAUGGGCAUCUUAUGCUUAACUCUGAGAAGAUGUCCAAGUCCACAGGGAACUUCCUAACUCUUAAGGAGGCUAUUAUAAGAUAUUCCUCGGAUGCCACUAGGUUUGCCCUUGCUGAUGCUGGCGAUGGUAUGGACGAUGCAAACUUUGUUACUGAAACUGCAAAUGCUGCUAUUUUGAGGCUUACAAAGGAAAUCGCAUGGAUGGAAGAAGUUAUAGCUGCUGAAUCUUCUUUGAGAGGCGGUCCUCCCUCUACUUAUGCUGACCAUGUGUUUGCUAAUGAGAUCAAUAUUGCUGUAAAAGAAACUGAGAAGAGCUACAAUGCCUUCAUGUUCAGAGAUGCCCUGAAGUCUGGUUUCUAUGACCUACAACUGGCUAGAGAUGAGUACAGACUCUCUUGUGGAGCGGCGGGCAUGAACCGUGAGUUGUUGGGGCGGUUUAUGGAAAUCCAGACCAAGCUUAUCACCCCGAUCUGUCCCCACUAUGCUGAGCAUGUGUGGCAAAAGAUUCUGAAGAAGGAAGGCUUUGCAAUAAAAGCUGGCUGGCCAGUUGCAGGCACCCCGGAUCCUACUCUAAGAAGUGCGAACAAAUACUUACAGGAUUCCAUUGUUUUGAUGAGGAAGUUGCUUCAGAAGCAGGAGUCUGGUUCCAAGAAACCCAAGAAGGGAGCUGCACCUACUCCAUCAGCAGAAAACAAGCUCACAGUUGGUCUGAUAUAUGUCAAUGAGCACUAUGAUGGAUGGAAAGAGCAAUGUUUGAGGGUGCUUCAAUCAAAUUUUGAUAGCCAAGCACGCUCCUUUGCCCCUGACGAGGAGAUUAACGAAGCAUUGAGGAACUGCUUCAUCGACCGCGAAACAAGUUUCAAACAAGUACAGAAGCUCUGCAUGCCUUUCAUCAGGUUCAAGAAAGAUGAAGCAAGGAACGUUGGUUCCCAGGCUCUAAAUUUGAAGCUUCCUUUUGGUGAAAUAAAUGUGCUUGAGGAGAACCUGGAGCUGAUCAGAAGGCAGUUGGGUCUUGAGCAUGUUGAGGUCCUGUCGGCAUUUGAUGGAGCUGCUCGUGCCAAAGCUGGAAAGCAUGCUUCUCUGCUGGACAAGAAUCCGCCUUCCCCUGGUGAGCCGGUUGCAAUAUUCAUGAGCAAGCAGGAGUUUGAAGCGCAGAAUUAAGCCCAGAUUAAUCUUCUCACAGAACUUUGUUGAGGUGUUUUGCAAGGCGUAGUAUCGACUGGCUGUUCCUCCUGUUGAUUCUAGCAUGAGGCGCCUAUAUUGGGAACAUGGAAAGGAGCGUUUUCUCCAGCUUGACUGCAGAUGAUUGAGAAGGAAGUUGGUUUCCAAGCUUUUGCCAAUUUUGUUUCUUUUUAGAUGUGGAUGCAGAGAUGGCAAGUGCAGAAUACAAGGAGUAUUCCUGCUUUUAUAUACAGCAGUGUCUUAGUUUGUUUACUCACCAAAGUUGUGACAUAUUCCUGGCACUUGAUCACAUACUCCAUGAUGUAUUGUUUCUGCUGAAAUGUUCAGUGACCUUAGUAAUGCUGUUAUGCUGCCAGUUUUUAGAUGUGUCAUUGUCGAUGUGGAAUCUAUUUCUCAGAUAUGUCAUGUAAAUGAUGGCCCUGUAACAACGCGGGCCUGCAUUACUUAUGUUUACAUAUCUUUUUCUUUUUCUUUUUGAACAGUGAAAAAGCGCUAGAGGCGCCCUAUAUUCAACUCAUAAGCAAUGUACAGCAUGGAGUAGAUAUCCCUGGAUAUUUACAGCAUGUUUACAUAUCAGAGUGUAUCUAGCAGUUUGUCUUGGAAACAGAGGGAGCUACUGUUAGUGGCUUUCUAGUAGCACUGAUUAUCCAUCCAUCCUACAGUUGGCUUUGCUUAAAAUUGUUUUAGCCAUUUGGUGCGGUCUGCCACUAGAUUCUCUUGCGGUCUUGCAUUCAGGUCAGAGGCAUUGCCUGUGAGGGAACCUGCAGAAUAUACGUGUGUUCUGGCCAAGCAUUUCGGUGAACGCCAAGAACCAUCCAACCAUUUACGUGCUACUCCUUACAAAUGAACCUAACGAACCGGCUAACCAACGCAGCUACGAGCGAGCUUGCUGCCUUGUCGUUGCUGUUGCAGGGUUUCCAACUCUCUGACGGACAUGAUGAGCGCCACCAGACGCAUGCUGAUGGCUUCACCUCCAGAGCUGCCUGCAACAUUCUCAAGCAUGAAUAUCAGGAAGACGAUCACGCAGCCCUAAUCUGGCGUUCAAGGUCACCGCACAAGCUAAAGAUCUUCGGUUGGCUGCUGUUUAGAGGCAGGCUAAAAACAGGAGCAAAUCUAUUCCACAAAAAAUCAGCACUGAUGCUAACUGUCCACGACGUUCUUGCCCAACUGAAGACACGCCGCAUCUCUUCAUCACCUGCCAGAAGCUUCAAAUGUGUGGCUGCAGCUAGGUCUCACCACGACGCCGAGAUUCCAAGACCUCUGGCUAGCUGA